CAGUCGCCGCGGGAAUACAGAGGGUGCGAGCGUUAAUCGGAUUUACUGGGCGUAAAGCGUGCGUAGGCGGCUAAUUGAGUCGGAUGUGAAAUCCCCGAGCUUAACUUGGGAAUUGCAUUCGAUACUGGUUAGCUAGAGUGUGGGAGAGGAUGGCAGAAUUCCAGGUGUAGCGGUGAAAUGCGUAGAGAUCUGGAGGAAUACCGAUGGCGAAGGCAGCCAUCUGGCCUAACACUGACGCUGAGGUACGAAAGCAUGGGGAGCAAACAGGAUUAGAUACCCCAGUAGUCCCUGUCUCUUAUAC
rnacentral:rRNA from 1 species